rnacentral:rRNA from 1 species
UGAGUAACCUGCCCCAGACUCUGGGAUAAGCACUGGAAACGGUGUCUAAUACCGGAUAUGAGCUUCAGCCGCAUGGCUAGGAGUUGGAAAGAAUUUCGGUUUGGGAUGGACUCGCGGCCUAUCAGCUUGUUGGUGAGGUAAUGGCUCACCAAGGCGACGACGGGUAGCCGGCCUGAGAGGGUGACCGGCCACACUGGGACUGAGACACGGCCCAGACUCCUACGGGAGGCAG